rnacentral:misc_RNA from 1 species
CGCACUGCACUAUCCGGACGACUCCCCCGUGAUAGUAUGCCCCAUUGAGCGUCAUUUAUUCCUUCGGAUGUUAGCGUGUUCAUUCACACUUCCAGACGAGUCCGAGGCCCACAUCUGCUUCAUUGCGGCUGCGUCCCUCGAGAUCCAUUAGCCAGCCGUGUCUGACUGGUGCCCAUCCUGUGAUGACUUUGCAGGUGACGCACUCCGUCUUCUGAUGACCGGUGGCUCAUAAUCGCCCUCGCGGCAACCUGGCCUCCGUGCCGACAUCUCGUACAUGACCUCAGUGGGGUAGGAUUACCCGCUAGACUUAAGCAUAUUAAUCAGCGGAGGAAAAGAAACUAACAAGGAUUCCCCUAGUAACUGCGAGUGAAGAGGGAAGAGC